GACAGAGGUUGCAAACGUUGUUCGGAAUUACUGGGCAUAAAGCGCACGUAGGCGGUUCGUUAAGUCAUGUGUGAAAUCCCUCGGCUCAACCGAGGAAUUGCGCCUGAUACUGGCGGGCUAGAGAUCGAUAGGGGUGAGUGGAACUCCAGGUGGAGCGGUGAAAUGCGUAGAUAUCUGGAGGAACACCGGUGGCGAAAGCGGCUCACUGGAUCGAUACUGACGCUGAGGCGCGAAAGCCAGGGGAGCAAACGGG
rnacentral:rRNA from 1 species